GCUUUGUGUCCAGCCCACGACAUGGCAGCCAUGCAGGCCCCAGCUCACCAGGCCAGCCGCGGUCCCAGAAGGAGCAGCUCACAAGGUGACUGAUCAGAGCCAUCUGCUCACCUGGCCUGUGUUUCAGGGAUUCAGUCUAAAUGCUUCCCCACAACCGGACUCAGUGCUGAAAAACUUCUUCAGGCCUUACCAGGGUAGGCAUGACAGUUUUUGCCUCACUGUUGAAAUUUUAUCCAUUUUAAGGAUUUUUUCAACAUUUACAUCAGGUGUGGAAACUUUUCAAAACAUGACAGACACUUAUCAACAACAAUGAAAAGUAGUCAACUCCACCCCUCUGGUUGUGUUAAUUUGAGACCAUAUUUAGUCAAACCCAACCAACUCCUGUGUCUACACUUGUUUCUAACUCUCUUGUGUUAUGUGUGCACAUUGAUUUUAUCUUUCAUUUUAAAAAAUAUAUGGCACAAAAACUUUUUUUCCCUUUUCCUUAAAGAGUCGUGGGAAAAAAAUAAUUUAUCACAAAUAAUUUUAAGGAUAGAAUUUUCAAUAAAAAGACGGUUUAUCUUGAAUUUGUUAUUAAAGAGAAACCUGAAUAACUAGCCACUUAAAUGUAUAUAUUUAAAUCUUCAAGAAAAAACAUUAAAAUGUGUCUUAUGUGCUGGGAAAAUUUCCGUACUAUGCUAAGCAAUCAAAAGAGGGGGGAAAAGGUGGAGAUAAAAUGAUUCUCAUGCCAAAGUCCUCCCAAAUGGAUCAUAGAAUCCAAAUGUUUUCAUUAACUGCUUAGUAAUUUAUUGCAAAAAAGGUAAUUCGGUGUUGAACACAGAAUUCCUUAUACACUAAAAGAAAUAAUUUGUGUAAAGAAUACAUAAUAAAAUUAUAUACGUAUAUGCACAUGUAAA